rnacentral:rRNA from 1 species
GACGAACGCUGGCGGCGUGCUUAACACAUGCAAGUCGAACGGAAAGGCCCUGCUUUUGUGGGGUGCUCGAGUGGCGAACGGGUGAGUAACACGUGAGUAACCUGCCCUUGACUUUGGGAUAACUUCAGGUAACUGGGGUUAAUACCGGAUAGGAGCUCCUGCUGCAUGGUGGGGGUUGGAAAGUGUCGGCGGUUGGGGAUGGACUCGCGGCUUACCAGUUUGUUGGUGGGGUAGUGGCUUACCAAGGCUUUGACGGGUAGCCGGCCUGAGAGGGUGACCGGCCACAUUGGGACUGAGCUACGGCCCAGCCUCCAACGGGAGGCAGCGGUGGGGAAUAUUGCACAAUGGGCGGAAGCCGGAUGCAGCAACGCCGCGUGCGGGAUGACGGCCUUCGGGUUGUAAACGGCUUUCGCAGGUGACGAAGCGUGAGUGACGGUACUGGGUAAAGAAGCACCGGCUAACUACGUG